rnacentral:rRNA from 1 species
GGACUACUGGGGUAUCUAAUCCUGUUUGCUCCCCACGCUUUCGUGCCUCAGCGUCAGUGUUGUCCCAGAUGGCCGCCUUCGCCACUGAUGUUCCUCCCGAUCUCUACGCAUUUCACCGCUACACCGGGAAUUCCACCAUCCUCUGACACACUCUAGCUUCCCAGUAUCCACUGCCAUUCCCAGGUUGAGCCCGGGGAUUUCACAGCAGACUUAAGAAACCGCCUACGCACGCUUUACGCCCAGUAAUUCCGAUUAACGCUUGCACCCUUCGUAUUACCGCGGCUGCUGGCAC